GAUGAACGCUGGCGGCGUGCCUAAUACAUGCAAGUCGAGCGAACAGACGAGGAGCUUGCUCCUCUGACGUUAGCGGCGGACGGGUGAGUAACACGUGGAUAACCUACCUAUAAGACUGGGAUAACUUCGGGAAACCGGAGCUAAUACCGGAUAAUAUAUUGAACCGCAUGGUUCAAUAGUGAAAGACGGCUUUGCUGUCACUUAUAGAUGGAUCCGCGCCGCAUUAGCUAGUUGGUAAGGUAACGGCUUACCAAGGCAACGAUGCGUAGCCGACCUGAGAGGGUGAUCGGCCACACUGGAACUGAGACACGGUCCAGACACCUACGGGAGGCAGCAGUAGGGAAUCUUCCGCAAUGGGCGAAAGCCUGACGGAGCAACGCCGCGUGAGUGAUGAAGGUCUUCGGAUCGUAAAACUCUGUUAUUAGGGAAGAACAAAUGUGUAAGUAACUAUGCACGUCUUGACGGUACCUAAUCAGAAAGCCACGGCUAACUACGUG
rnacentral:rRNA from 1 species